UCGAACGGAAUUUUGAAACUUCGGUCGAUUAAUCUAGUGGCGGACGGGUGAGUAACGCGUGGGUACCUGCCUUAUACAGGGGGAUAACAGUCAGAAAUGACUGCUAAUACCGCAUAAGGCUGCAUGGCAAAAACUCCGGUGGUAUAAGAUGGACCCGCGUUGGAUUAGCUGGUUGGUAGGUAACGGCCCACCAAGGCGACGAUCCAUAGCCGGCCUGAGAGGGUGAACGGCCACAUUGGGACUGAGACACGGCCCAGACUCCUACGGGAGGCAGCAGUGGGGAAUAUUGCACAAUGGGGGAAACCCUGAUGCAGCGACGCCGCGUGAAGGAAGAAGUAUCUCGGUAUGUAAACUUCUAUCAGCAGGGAAGAAUAGGACGGUACCUGACUAAGAAGCCCCGGCUAACUACGUGCCAGCAGCCGCGGUAAUACGUAGGGGGCAAGCGUUAUCCGGAUUUACUGGGUGUAAAGGGAGCGUAGACGGAGGAAAGUCUGAUGUGAAAGGCUGGGGCUCAACCCCGGGACUGCAUUGGAAACUGCCCGUCUUGAGUGCCGGAGAGGUAAGCGGAAUUCCUAGUGUAGCGGUGAAAUGCGUAGAUAUUAGGAGGAACACCAGUGGCGAAGGCGGCUUACUGGACGGUAACUGACGUUGAGGCUCGAAAGCGUGAGGAGCAAACAGGAUUAGAUACCCUGGUAGUCCACGCGGUAAACGAUGAAUG
rnacentral:rRNA from 1 species